rnacentral:snoRNA from 1 species
AUGCUAUGGUGUGUACACUUCACCAGCAUACCCUUAAACCUCUCCCAUGUUUCUUGCAAUGUCUCAGUCGGUUUCUGCCUGAAUUGCAAUAUCUCAUCAAUUUGCCU